rnacentral:misc_RNA from 1 species
GAUGAAGAACGCAGCGAAAUGCGAAAAGUAGUGUGAAUUGCAGAAUUCAGUGAAUCAUCGAAUCUUUGAACGCACAUUGCGCCCGCUAGUAUUCUGGCGGGCAUGCCUGUCCGAGCGUCAUUUCAACCCUCAAGCCCCCGGGCUUGGUGUUGGGGAUCGGCGAGCCUCCGCGCCCGCCGUCCCCUAAAUCUAGUGGCGGUCUCGCUGUAGCUUCCUCUGCGUAGUAGCACACCUCGCACUGGGAAACAGCGCGGCCACGCCGUUAAACCCCCAACUUCUGAACGUUUGACCUCGGAUCAGGUAGGAAUACCCGCUGAACUUAAGCAUAUCAAUAAGCGGAGGA